CCUUGACAUACUAAGAACUUUCCAGAGAUGGAUUGGUGCCUUCGGGAACUUAGAUACAGGUGCUGCAUGGCUGUCGUCAGCUCGUGUCGUGAGAUGUUGGGUUAAGUCCCGCAACGAGCGCAACCCUUUUCCUAUUUGCCAGCGGGUCAUGCCGGGAACUUUAAGGAUACUGCCAGUGACAAACUGGAGGAAGGCGGGGACGACGUCAAAUCAUCAUGGCCCUUACGGCCAGGGCUACACACGUGCUACAAUGGUCGGUACAAAGGGUUGCUACCUCGCGAGAGGAUGCUAAUCUCAAAAAGCCGAUCGUAGUCCGGAUCGCAGUCUGCAACUCGACUGCGUGAAGUCGGAAUCGCUAGUAAUCGCGGAUCAGAAUGCCGCGGUGAAUACGUUCCCGGGCCUUGUACACACCGCCCGUCACACCAUGGGAGUUUGUUGCACCAGAAGUAGGUAGUCUAACCGCAAGGAGGACGCUUACCACGGUGUGGCCGAUGACUGGGGUGAAGUCGUAACAAGGUAAGCGUAGAUGA
rnacentral:rRNA from 1 species